GGAUCCCGGACAGAUUGCUAGGUCAGAUUUUAUCAGCAGGAGGAGAAAGUGGGGUCUGGAGUCUGUCAAGCAGGGUCAAGGAAAGAGAUGAAAGCAGGAGAACUUUUCACUUUCACCUAUUUUCUAUUUGGAUUUUAAAACUCCUUUAGGAAGAUGUCACAGAACAGUUUUGAAAGUACUGAUUUCCUCUUCACCACGAGGUGGUUUGUUGCGUCUCUGAGUUUGGAGAAUUUCAUUAACAUGCAUAGUUCCUUUCUAGAAACCCGUGUGAAGGUUCGGCGCCCAUGGCUCAGCCUGGGCCCGCCUGCUCAGAGCUGGAAUCUUUGGGAGGUCUUGGGCCUGCUUCUUUGUAGCAGAGUAUUUCUGCUGACCUUGCAAAAGAUUGUCAUGGCAACCAGAAAAAUAAGUUUCCAAGCCCCACAGUCCCCCUGAGAGGGAGGCAGAUGUCAGUGGGCGUCCUUUGUCAUGGAGGGUGCAGGUGGGGAGGUUUCUGCAGAUCACGCUGCUCUUGGGGAGGUGAAAGUGCGCCCUCCUCCGUGACUCACCAGGAAGCAGUUUUGGGCCAGGGAGAAGGAGGACUGAGUCCCGAUGGUGGUGAGAGUUCUGGCUGCACUCGUGAAGCACCUGGAGCCAAACCUGCACGGGGACCUGAAUCCUGCUGCCAGUCAGUGACAAGGAGACUGAGGAUGCGGGAGGGACAGACUUUGUCACCCUCCAGGGCAGAAGCAAUGGCGGCAGAGGCACCGAGGCUCCACCUUGCGCCUGGGCCAGCGGGGAGGCCUGGCUGAGGUGCCUCGAACUCACAGUGCCAGGGGAGUCAGGCCAAGCCCGAGUCGUC
rnacentral:lncRNA from 1 species